UUCUACAACUAUGCUCACUUUAUACACUUUAUGAUUCCACAGUGCCUCAUUUCUACACCACCAGAGUUGAUAAACCAUAGUAGCUACUGUCGCUGAAAAAACUUUCUUUCUGAACCUUGUCAACCUUGCUUUAGCUAUCCAUCUCAGAAGUUUCGCAGGCAAUUGUCAUCUGCCACAAUAUGGAAUCUGAAGAGCCUUUCUUUCGUUUGCAGUCUGUCAAGUACCACAAGCCAUAAAAUGAACCUGUGUUUUGGUAAUGCCAUCCUAUUCCAAACUUCCCUGUACCAUGUUACUGAUUGUUUAGCAGUAACCAAAGCUUGAUACCCUUCAUUCAUCCUGUAUUCUCCAUUUGAUAACAGUUUCAGCAUUUGCAUGUCCUUUA